rnacentral:lncRNA from 10 species
AGCAUUUGGUCCCUGGCUCUGUGUCCCCACACAGCCACCCUACCCCAUGCUGCCUUUUACUGAGGCACACAGCAUUUUAGACAGGAGAACCCUGAUGGCAGAGGCUGGGUCUCACGGGACCCUGUCUCCUUAAGGGCUUAGUCUGGGGCUGGAGCCUCUACAGAUGUUUGAGCAAAGGCGGGAGGCAAGGGAGGGAGGCCGGAAGCCACCCCAGGGACUCUGAUGUCCACCCUGCGGCAGCCUGUCUGUGGACAGAUGAUGCAGGAAGCUCACGGAACUCCCAAGCAGAAAUCAGCAGAGAUGGAGCCUGGUUAUUUUUCAGCACACAAAAGCCGAGGGCCCCUUCCUGAGAUGCCUGCCUCAGCCCGGUAGUGAAACUGAACCCACCUCAGACGGGAAAGGCUUGGCGGGCUCUGCUUGGUGGGAAGUCCACAGUGGUGCCUCGUCCCUGAGAUGAGAAUCAUCACCUCCGCUUUACAAAUGAGAUGACCAAGGGUCAGAGAGGAGAAAGGACCUCCCCCCAGCCCUGAGUCACCUGCCUGGAGACUGAGGGAGCCAUAAUGCGAAUCUUCCCCUUGCCAAACCCACUGACUCCAUUACGCUGCCUCCAGAGAACCCGAGCCCCGCGGCGAGAAAGUGGUAGAGCUGGGCCUCGAACCUGGGUCCUGGACUCUUGGUCCUGUGCUCCUUGUGGAAGAUGGAACUGCUUCUUCAGGUCUCAGUUUCUUCAUCCGUAAAAGGGCCAUUGUAAAUACCGAGUAAGCUAGAACAUGAACUGCCUGGCAUCCAGCAGCCCAAGCCUGCGUGAACCACACCAGAGGGACAUCCUGCGCAGGCCACCUCUUUCUGCUUGCUUCUUCUUGUCUUCCUCACCACCCCUCCCAUUUGCUUCUGCCCUCAUCCAGAUUUUCCAGUCUUGGCCUUUGUUCAGCCAACAUUUGUUGUUACUCUAGCCCUGCUGUAAACUCAGUGAAAAUAACAGAUUGCCCAGGUGAUGGAGGUUAAUAUCAACAGCAAGAAGUCAAAUACGAGUUAUUAAUAGAAAUCAUGUACCC